rfam:Dietzia cinnamea P4 contig00457, whole genome shotgun sequence.
CUGAUGGCGUGCCUUUUGAAGAAUGAGCCUGCGAGUUAGUGGUAUGUCGCGAGGUUAACCCGUGUGGGGAAGCCGUAGCGAAAGCGAGUCCGAAUAGGGCGAUGUUAGUGGCAUGCUCUAGACCCGAAGCGGAGUGAUCUACCCAUGGCCAGUGUGAAGCGACGGUAAGACGUCGUGGAGGCGCGAACCCACUUAGGUUGAAAACUGAGGGGAUGAGUUGUGGGUAGGGGUGAAAGGCCAAUCAAACUCCGUGAUAGCUGGUUCUCCCCGAAAUGCAUUUAGGUGCAGCGUCGCAUGUUUCACCUCGGAGGUAGAGCUACUGGAUGGCCGAUGGGCCCUACAAGGUUACUGACGUCAGCCAAACUCCGAAUGCCGAGGUGUGAGAGUGCGGCAGUGAGACUGUGGGGGAUAAGCUUCAUAGUCGAGAGGGAAACAGCCCAGAUCGCCGGCUAAGGCCCCUAAGCGUGUACUAAGUGGAAAAGGAUGUGGGAUCGCUGAGACAGCCAGGAGGUUGGCUUAGAAGCAGCCACCCUUGAAAGAGUGCGUAAUAGCUCACUGGUCAAGUGGUCCUGCGCCGACAAUGUAGCGGGGCUCAAGUACACCGCCGAAGCCGCGGCACUCACACAUGAACCUCCUCCGGGCAGGUGUGUGGGUGGGUAGGGGAGCGUCGUGUGGCCAUAGAAGCGCCGGAGUGAUCCAGGUGUGGAGGCCACACGAGUGAGAAUGCAGGCAUGAGUAGCGAAUGACGAGUGAGAAACUCGUCCGCCGGAUGACCAAGGGUUCCUGGGUCAAGCUAAUCUGCCCAGGGUGAGUCGGGACCUAAGGCGAGGCCGACAGGCGUAGUCGAUGGACAACGGGUUGAUAUUCCCGUACCCGUGUAUGCGCGCCCAUGGUGAAUCAGUGAUACUAACCGCCCUGAACCACCUAGAGACACUUCGGUGUACGUGGUGGGGAUGCGCGGGACCUGAUCUGGUAGUAGCCAAGCGAUGGGGUGACGCAGGAAGGUAGCUGGGCCAGUCAGUGGUUGUACUGGUGUAAGAGUGUAGGCCGUGACAACAGGCAAAUCCGUGUCACACAAGGGCUGAGACUUGAUGCGUACCCGUUGUGGGGAAUUCAGUGAUCCUAUGCUGCCGAGAAAAGCCUCUAGUGAGUUCAUACACGGCCCGUACCCCAAACCAACACAGGUGGUCAGGUAGAGAAUACCAAGGCGAUCGAGAGAACUGUGGUUAAGGAACUCGGCAAAAUGCCCCCGUAACUUCGGGAGAAGGGGGACCACGCCCGGUGAACACCUUUGCGGUGGGAGCUGGGGGUGGUCGCAGAGACCAGAGAGAAGCGACUGUUUACUAAAAACACAGGUCCGUGCGAAGACGUAAGUCGAUGUAUACGGACUGACGCCUGCCCGGUGCUGGAAGGUUAAGAGGACCGGUUAGCCGCAAGGCGAAGCUGAGAAUUUAAGCCCCAGUAAACGGCGGUGGUAACUAUAACCAUCCUAAGGUAGCGAAAUUCCUUGUCGGGUAAGUUCCGACCUGCACGAAUGGCGUAACGACUUCUCUGCUGUCUCGACCACAGACUCGGCGAAAUUGCAUUACGAGUAAAGAUGCUCGUUACGCGCGGCAGGACGAAAAGACCCCGGGACCUUUACUAUAGCUUGGUAUUGGCGUUCGAUUCGGUUUGUGUAGGAUAGGUGGGAGACUGUGAAGCAUGCACGCCAGUGUGUGUGGAGUCGUUGUUGAAAUACCACUCUGAUCGUAUUGGACGUCUAACCUCGGCCCAUGAUCUGGGUUAGGGACAGUGCCUGGUGGGUAGUUUAACUGGGGCGGUUGCCUCCCAAAGAGUAACGGAGGCGCCCAAAGGUUCCCUCAGCCUGGAUGGCAAUCAGGUGUUGAGUGCAAGUGCACAAGGGAGCUUGACUGUGAGACUGACACGUCGAGCAGGGACGAAAGUCGGGACUAGUGAUCCGGCACCGGCAUGUGGAAGCGGUGUCGCUCAACGGAUAAAAGGUACCCCGGGGAUAACAGGCUGAUCUUCCCCAAGAGUCCAUAUCGACGGGAUGGUUUGGCACCUCGAUGUCGGCUCGUCGCAUCCUGGGGCUGGAGUAGGUCCCAAGGGUUGGGCUGUUCGCCCAUUAAAGCGGCACGCGAGCUGGGUUUAGAACGUCGUGAGACAGUUCGGUCUCUAUCCGCCGCGCGCGUAAGAAACUUGCGGAAGGCUGUCCCUAGUACGAGAGGACCGGGACGGACGAACCUCUGGUGUGCCAGUUGUUCCACCAGGAGCAUCGCUGGUUAGCUACGUUCGGAAGGGAUAACCGCUGAAAGCAUCUAAGCGGGAAGCCUGUUCCAAGAUGAGGUUUCUCACCACCUUCGCGUGGUUAAGGCCCCCCACAGACCAUGGGGUUGAUAGGCCGGAACUGGAAGCGCAGCAAUGCGUGCAGGUGACCGGUACUAAUCGGCCGAGGACUUACACAC